GCGCGUGCUAUACAUGCAAGUAGAACGCUGAAGACUUUAGCUUGCUAAAGUUGGAAGAGUUGCGAACGGGUGAGUAACGCGUAGGUAACCUGCCUACUAGCGGGGGAUAACUAUUGGAAACGAUAGCUAAUACCGCAUAACAGCAUUUAACCCAUGUUAGAUGCUUGAAAGGAGCAAUUGCUUCACUAGUAGAUGGACCUGCGUUGUAUUAGCUAGUUGGUGAGGUAACGGCUCACCAAGGCGACGAUACAUAGCCGACCUGAGAGGGUGAUCGGCCACACUGGGACUGAGACACGGCCCAGACUCCUACGGGAGGCAGCAGUAGGGAAUCUUCGGCAAUGGGGGCAACCCUGACCGAGCAACGCCGCGUGAGUGAAGAAGGUUUUCGGAUCGUAAAGCUCUGUUGUAAGAGAAGAACGUGUGUGAGAGUGGAAAGUUCACACAGUGACGGUAACUUACCAGAAAGGGACGGCUAACUACGUGCCAGCAGCCGCGGUAAUACGUAGGUCCCGAGCGUUGUCCGGAUUUAUUGGGCGUAAAGCGAGCGCAGGCGGUUUAAUAAGUCUGAAGUUAAAGGCAGUGGCUUAACCAUUGUUCGCUUUGGAAACUGUUAGACUUGAGUGCAGAAGGGGAGAGUGGAAUUCCAUGUGUAGCGGUGAAAUGCGUAGAUAUAUGGAGGAACACCGGUGGCGAAAGCGGCUCUCUGGUCUGUAACUGACGCUGAGGCUCGAAAGCGUGGGGAGCAAACAGGAUUAGAUACCCUGGUAGUCCACGCCGUAAACGAUGAGUGCUAGGUGUUAGGCCCUUUCCGGGGCUUAGUGCCGCAGCUAACGCAUUAAGCACUCCGCCUGGGGAGUACGACCGCAAGGUUGAAACUCAAAGGAAUU
rnacentral:rRNA from 1 species